AGAAGAGGAGGGUACAGAUGGCACCCUACAACUAGAGGAGGGGAGGGUACAGAUGGCACCCUACAACUAGAGGAGGGUACAGAUGGCACCCUACAACUAGAGAAGGGUACAGAUGGCACCCUACAACUAGAGAAGGGUACAGAUGGCACCCUACAGCUAGAGAAGGGUACAGAUGGCACCCUACAGCUAGAGAAGGGUACAGAUGGCACCCUACAGCUAGAGAAGGGUACAGAAGGCACCCUACAACUAGAGAAGGGUACAGAUGGCACCCUACAACUAGAGAAGGGUACAGAUGGCACCCUACAGCUAGAGAAGGGUACAGAAGGCACCCUACAACUAGAGAAGGGUACAGAUGGCACCCUACAACUAGAGAAGGGUACAUAUGGCACCCUACAACUACAGGAGGGUACAGAUGGCACCCUACAACUAGAGGAGGGUACAGAUGGCACCCUACAACUAGAGAAGGGUACAGAUGGCACCCUACAACUAGAGAAGGGUACAGAUGGCACCCUACAGCUAGAGAAGGGUACAGAUGGCACCCUACAGCUAGAGAAGGGUACAGAAGGCACCCUACAACUAGAGAAGGGUACAGAUGGCACCCUACAGCUAGAGAAGGGUACAGAUGGCACCCUACAGCUAGAGAAGGGUACAGAAGGCACCCUACAACUAGAGAAGGGUACAGAUGGCACCCUACAACUAGAGAAGGGUACAGAUGGCACCCUACAACUAGAGAAGGGUACAGAUGGCACCCUACAACUAGAGAAGGGUACAGAUGGCACCCUACAACUAGAGAAGGGUACAGAUGGCACCCUACAACUAGAGGAGGGUACAGAUGGCACCCUACAACUAGAGAAGGGUACAGAUGGCACCCUACAACUAGAGAAGGGUACAGAUGGCACCCUACAGCUAGAGAAGGGUACAGAAGGCACCCUACAACUACAGGAGGGUACACCCCUCCUUCAUACACCCCUCCUUCAUAUGGAUCCUCCCCCCCUCCUUCAU
rnacentral:lncRNA from 1 species